rnacentral:rRNA from 1 species
UAGGGAAUUUUCCACAAUGGGGGCAACCCUGAUGGAGCAACGCCGCGUGCAGGAUGAAGGCUUUCGGGUCGUAAACUGCUUUUAUCUGUGAAGAUUAUGACGGUAGCAGAUGAAUAAGGAUCGGCUAACUCCGUGCCAGCAGCCGCGGUCAUACGGAGGAUCCAAGCGUUAUCCGGAAUUACUGGGCGUAAAGAGUUGCGUAGGCGGUUAAGUAAGUUGGUAGUGAAAGCGUGGGGCUCAACCUCAUAUCCAUUACCAAAACUGCUUUGACUAGAGAAUGAGAGAGGUCGCUGGAAUUACUAGUGUAGGAGUGAAAUCCGUAGAUAUUAGUAGGAACACCGAUGGCGUAGGCAGGCGACUGGCUCAUUUCUGACGCUCAGGCACGAAAGCGUGGGGAGCGACCGGG